GGUAGUAGCAAAUAAUCGAAUGAGACCUUGGAGGACUGAAGUGGAGAAGGGUUUCGUGUGAACAGUGGUUGAUCACGAGUUAGUCGGUCCUAAGUUCAAGGCGAAAGCCGAAAAUUUUCAAGUAAAAAAUCAGUGAGUAAUAUUGUCAAAUCUUUUAUGAUUUUUAAAUACUUGAAUAAUUUUGAACGAAAGGGAAUACGGUUCCAAUUCCGUAACCUGUUGAGUAUCCGUUUGUUAUUAAAUAUGGGCCUCGUGCUCAUCCUGGCAACAGGAACGACCAUAAAGAAGCCGUCGAGAGAUAUCGGAAGAGUUUUCUUUUCUGUUUUAUAGCCGUACUACCAUGGAAGUCUUUCGCAGAGAGAUAUGGUAGAUGGGCUAGAAGAGCAUGACAUAUACUGUUGUGUCGGACCUUGAAAAUUUAUGGUGGGGACACGCAAACUUCUCAACAGGCCGUACCAAUAUCCGCAGCUGGUCUCCAAGGUGAAGAGUCUCUAGUC
rnacentral:ncRNA from 1 species